AAAAAGGGUGUUUGCCGCUUCGAUGGCACGCGCGCCUCGUGCGCGUGGGGUAUGGCUAUCAAGACAUACUCAACACGUAAUUUUUUAAUCGGAGAGGCUGUUGGCUACCUACGUACCGGCGCCUCC